UACGUAGGGGGCAAGCGUUAUCCGGAUUUACUGGGUGUAAAGGGAGCGUAGGUGGUAAGGCAAGCCAGAAGUGAAAAUCCGGGGCUCAACUCCGGAACUGCUUUUGGAACUGUCCUACUUGAGUGCAGGAGAGGUAAGCGGAAUUCCUAGUGUAGCGGUGAAAUGCGUAGAUAUUAGGAGGAACACCGGUGGCGAAGGCGGCUUACUGGACUGUAACUGACACUGAGGCUCGAAAGCGUGGGUAG
rnacentral:rRNA from 1 species